GGCCACGUGGAGUUUGUUAUGGAGAGUAGAGUGGUGUCCGUUGUUGUGACUUGUCAGAGAGUGGUAGAGCCCGGAGAGUGGAGUGGUGUCCGUUGUCGUGACUUGCCAGAGGGUAGUGGAGCCACAUGAAAUCCAUUGCAGAGAAUGGGGCAGGGUGGUGGCCAUUAUCGUGACUUGCCGGAGAGUUCGGAUCUGUCGGCUGGAGCUCGGCUGGGAUGUCUGAUGGAGAGGAAUGGCUCUCUAUCCUGCCGAUCUAGGAGAAGCUCGAAUAUUUUCGAGGCUGCUGACGAGUCUAUUAUUGUCGAAUGCCUUAGGUGCUAAUGCUACAGGCGGAAGUCAUCUACUGUAGAAGCUCGAAUGGAGACUUUCUGU
rnacentral:lncRNA from 1 species